rnacentral:lncRNA from 1 species
AAACGUAAUUUUUUAUACAUAUUUUGGUGAAUUAGAGAUGUUGGAACCCAAACAAUUCUUUCGCUUACUACUUCGCAGGUUUUGAGUUCGUCACCUGCGAAUUCUCCUAUUCGUAUCAUGUACAUGCCCAAAUAUGUCCGGGCCCAAACCAAUAAAUGGGCCCAAUUUUGCUAAGCCCAAAUAUCCUAUUUAACCCAAACCUAGCCUAAAAAAUACAGCAGAAACCCUAAAACAGCUAGAGCAACGGCGCCACAACUGUCACCCUUUUUUUUUUGCGCGAUUUCGCUCCCAGCAACUCUAGUCACCGCACAACUCGGAGUCGACCACCUCCACGCAUGCUGUAAUCGCCACGAUCACCUGCAAAUGUGGACUAGAAGAGUCCGAAAAAGAAAAUUGUGUAAAUAAAAUGUAUUUUUUAGGCAAUAAAAAGCCUAGAUCUAUGUACUAAAUGGGGAGGAGACUGAAAAAAAAUACAGAGGAAAAAAUAUAUAUAAUAGAGCAGAUAUCAGUUUUUAAGGUGAUGACUAGAAGUGUUUUAGUGAUUUCUUUUUAUUUUGUUUCUACGCAUGUAAUGAUAAAAAGGGAAAGAGAUUUUUGUUCUUUCAUUCUAUUUUGCUUUUAUUUCAUUAUUAUCUUUUAUUUCUUUUCUUUAAAAUACGAAAAAGAAAGAAAAAGGGAGACUUACCUUUCGCCGGAGUCGUCGAGCUGGUGUCCCCUCCGACGAAAUCGGGGCGUGGGCUGAACGGCGGCCAAAGGGUUAAGAAAACCCCAAAAGAAGCAGUUUCUGCUUCAAAGGGAAAGGCUAAAUAUUU